rfam:Tupaia chinensis contig3365, whole genome shotgun sequence.
CUGCAUUCACAGAUAGACCUUGAACAGUCUGGUAUUGUUCUACAGUUUGUUCCAGGAUGUGAGAGGAAAAAACAUCU